UACAGAGGUCCCGAGCGUUGUUCGGAUUUAUUGGGCGUAAAGAGCUCGUAGGCGGUUUGUCGCGUCGAAUGUGAAAACCCGGGGCUCAACCCCGGGCCUGCAUUCGAUACGGGCAGACUAGAGUUCGGUAGGGGAGUCUGGAAUUCCUGGUGUAGCGGUGAAAUGCGCAGAUAUCAGGAGGAACACCGGUGGCGAAGGCGGGUCUCUGGGCCGAUACUGACGCUGAGGAGCGAAAGCGUGGGGAGCGAACAGG
rnacentral:rRNA from 1 species